rnacentral:lncRNA from 1 species
GGAAAAGUUAUAACAAUUCAAAAUACUCCAAUACAUGUCUACCCAAGGAUCUGGUGUCACAAUUUCACGAACAUCUACGAAUUUCUACAAACACUGGUUUAGAAAGAAAAGUACAAUUGUUCUCAAAGUGAAGAGACAGCAAAAAUCUAAAACGGGGAAGGGCGACUUCAGGCUCUGCGGACGCCAGCAAAUCUACCUUGGUCUCCCUGAACUGAAGGCAACUACCUCAAGGUACUCAUCAGGUCCGGCAUCGAAAUCUGCACAAAAGAGUGCAGGGUGCAGUAUUAGUACAACCGACCCCAUGUACUGGUAAGUGUCGACCCUAACCUCGGUGAAGUAGUGACGAGGCUAGGACACGACAACCAUAUAAACCUAUGCAGUUAAAUCGUAUACGAACAGAACGAUAAUAACAUAAAAUGACAAAUAAAGAUGGGAAGGGGAUCAUGCUGCGAGGAAUAUCAGGUAUUAACAGAAUUUUAGUAGAGAAGCAUAAAGAACACCAUAUUUAUAUCAGCGGGAAUAAGGAAAACAGUAACACGUGCACGACAUCACCCUUCGUGCUUUUACUCUCGUCCUCACCAUAAGAAUCAACAGGAUCGACACAUCAUCACCCUUUGUGCAUUAACUAUCAUUAUCAUGACACGGCAUCACCCUUCAUGCAUUAACUCUUGCAAUAUCGGCACGACAUCACCCUUCGUGCUUUAACUCUCAAAUCAUGGCACGACAUCACCUUUCAUGCGUUAACACUCACAAUAUCGGCACGACAUCACCCUUCGUGAGUUAACACUCACUCACCAUAUCAUGCACGACAUCACCUUUCGUGUUUUACACUCUUCCUCACCCCAAACAAUAGAAACAAUACAUUCCGGCAAGGGAAUCAACAAGAUAAACAAUAACAUCCCGGCAAGGGAAUUAACAAUAUAAACAAUAAUAUCCCGGCCAGGGAAUCAGCUAUAACCAAUCUCUUUCCAAUAGUUACUUCACAAAACAAAUCCUAACUUGAGCCAAUACUCAACAAUGAUCAAUUACUAGGAAAUUAUCAUGAAUCAUGUUCAACAUUGAUAAUCAUCAGCCUAAGCAUGGACAAUACACAAUAGAGUCACAACAAUCAUGGUAUAAGACUCAUGGGCAUGCUUGAGACCAACGUAUAGAUACUCGUCACCAUGCCUAUACGUCGUACUCAACACUAACACGUAGCAAUUAAGACCACAACUCAUAUUCUCUCAAGCAAAGGUUAGACCAAACACUUACCUCAAUUUCACGAAUAAAAAUCAAACCUCAAUUACUGCUUUACCUCUUAGUUCUACUUCCAAUCCGCUUGUAUCUAGUCAUAAUUUACUUAAUAACAUCAAUAAUUGCUAAAUAAACCAAUUCUAAUGCAUGAUAUAGAUUUCCCAAUGUUUCUCCCAAAAAGUCAAAAAUUGACCGCGGACCUGCUUGGUCCAAACCCAAAAUUCGGAUCAAAACCCGAUUACCCAUUCACCCCCGAGCCCGAAUAUACAAUUGAUUUUGGAAUUCGACCUCAAUUCAAGGUCUAAAUCCCCAAAUUUCAAUAUUCCUAAGUUCUACCCAAAAUUACCAAUUCCACAAUGAACACCCUAGAUUCUAGGAUGAAAUCUUGUAAAAAGAAGUUAAGGAGAGAAAGAAAUGAGUUUAAAAUAACUUACAUAUGAUUUAGGGAAGAAAGAGUAUUUGAAAAAUUGUCUCUUAUGCUUUAGGGUUUUGGAAAAACAAUGGAUGAAAAGUCCCGUUUAUAUAGCCGUCACAGAUCCUUAAAAUGCUGACCGCGGAAAAAGGGUCGCGGCCGCGAAACAAACCGCUGACAGCGAAGUAACGGCCGCGGGAGCUUUAGCCUUGCCCACCGCGGCAGCGAAAUCCCCAGAGCGGCCGCGAAAUUCCACCGCGGACCGCGAAACCCCAGGUUCAGAGACCUGCAAUUUUUGGAAUUAUGCAGCACAAGUCUUUUUCCUAAGUCCAUACACCCCGAAGCCUAUCCGUAACUCACCUGAGCCCUCGGGGCUCUAAACCAAACAUGCAUACAAGUCUAAAAACAUCAUAUAGACUUGCUUGUGCGAUCAAAUCGCCAAAAUAACAUCAACUACGAAUUUAACCUCAAAUUCAUGAAAUUCAUAAGAUAGUUCAAAUUUUCCAUUUUCUCAACCUAGGGUCUGAUUUUUAUCAAAUCAACUCCGAUUCUUACCAAUUUUUUCAUAGAUUCGACCUAAAUAUUAUUUUAAAACCUGUACCAAGUCCGAAACCAAAAUAUGGGCCCGAUACCAUUCAGAUCACACAUCGUUUCUUUUCCAAAAGUCUUUAUAUUUUCCAAUAGACAAUUUUCUUUAAAGAUUCUUUUUCUCGGGCUAGGGACCUCGAAAUUCGAUUUUGGGUAUACACCCAAGUCCCAUAUUUUACUACGGACCCUAUGGGUCUGGGUCCGUUUACCAAAAACGUUGACCGAAGUCAACUUUGAUCAAUUUUAAAGGCUAAAUUCAAUAUUUCUCUUAAAUUUCACAUAAAAGCUUUUCGGAAAUGUGCCCGGACCGCGCACAAAUCGAGGUGAGACCAAAGGAGAUUUUUAAGGCCUCGGAACACAAAUUUGACUUCUAAAACAAGAUAUGACCUUUUGGGUCAUCACAAGAAAACUAUUCAAAUGAUCUUUUCAAUCCCUAUUCCGUAGUAUGAUUGCGAUACUCUCAAUUUCAUAUAGCUUGCCUCGAGAAUUAUUACAUACAUACUAGAAGUACAUACCUGCUAUUGAAUAAAUUAUGUUAAUGCAAACAUAUGGGAGCAUUGUCCUAAUUUGUUUUUUUUAAGAUUCAGACGUCUGAAUCUGAAUAUACAUCUGAAUAUCAAGAUGUGUAUUAAGAUUAAGACAUCUGAAUCUCAAUAUACAUCUGAAUAUUAGGAUGUGUAUUAAGAUCUAAAUACUAAAUAAUUAAAACUAUUUGAUUUUUAAUAUCUGAGUGUAUAAAAUUUAUUUUUAUUUGAAAAUUAAUAAACAUAAAAUUUAAAUAAAAUACUAAUUAAUCUAAUAUUCUAUCAAUAAAAUCUAUAAUUUUUUUAAAAUAUAGUAGUUGCUGGUGGUGAUGGCUAAUGGUAGUGCUUGUGAAUGCUGUUUAGAGGUGGUGGUUGGUGGUAGGUUUGGUUGAUAGUUAUGGUUGAGGGUAGUAUUAGUGGUGAUUAGUAAUGGUGGCGAUUAUGAUUGAGGAUGGUGGUGGUGGUAGUUGCGAUUGAGGAAUGUGGUAGUUAAUAAUGAUGUGUAGUGCCAGUUAUGGUUGUUGCUGGUGAUGGAGUGGUUAGUUGUGGUAGUUGAGGUGGAUGGGUGUUAUUUGUGGUUGAGAAUGAUGAUGGUGGGAGUGGUGCAGAUGGUGGGUGGUGGUAAUCGAUUAUGGUGACAACUAUGUUUGAGGAUGAUGGUGGUGGUGGUGGUGGUAGUCAGAUGCAGAGCUAGGAUUUGAAGUGUGUGGGUUCUAAAUUGUAAAAUAAUACUAUGACCUAAAACUAAUAUACAAUAACAAACUGACUAAAGAAUGAGUAUCGAUAUUUAAUAUAUAUUUAAAAAGUAACAAAAGAUAAACACAAUAUAUGAAUAUAAACAUUAUCAUUUUAAUUGCACUCGACGACUUGUCAUGUUUUGAAAACGAUCAAUGAUCGCAUCAUUAGGUACACUUUCAAAUACUUAAUCCUCUAUAUAACAAACUAAACAAUCAUUCAAAAAGUUUAUCACCAAUCCUGCUUCGCAAAUCAUUUUUAAUAAACUUCACUGAAGAAAAAGCCCUUUCGACCGUUGCAGUAGCCACAGGUAAUAUCAAACUCAAUUUCACAAGCAAAUAAAUAAGUCCUCAUGUCUUGUGAAUAUUUGUUUUAACCAAUGUCUUCGACAGAUCACCAAGCCCUUUCAAUUUAGAGAAUGCAUUGUUCAAUUCUCGCACAUAGUCAAUAUAGUUGUCAAGCUCACAACUAAGAUAUUCAAGGUUAGAAGCAGUGAACUCAUUUGGAUAAUAUGUAGCAAGUUUCAUAAUCUUAUUUCUAUCAUAAUCUGCAAAAAAAAUAUUGGGACACAAACUAGCCAUACCAAGAAGCAACUCAGUAUUCACUUCACUAAAACGACUGCUAAGCUUCGAAAGUUGCAAAUCAAUAGUUGCACAAAAAAUUCUACGUACAAAUGAUGAGAAUAUGUAAUAGUUGAGCUUUCACGCUUCGACUUUCCAAGUGCAUACUUCUCAUCCAUUUUUGGGAUUACAAUACCAUUCUUAUCACAAAACGCAGAGACAUCUUCUAUCAAAGAAUUCCGUUUAGAUUCCCUCAUUGUUUGCAAUUGCUUCUUUGUGAAAUCAACAAGUUUCAUUGCACUAAAAAUAUCUUGAUCUUUUUUUUGUAGGUCCAUAUUCAAAUCAUAUGUAAUUGCCAAUAAUUUUAACAUCAAAUGUAACAUACACACGAACUCAUAAGAUCUUAUAUCUUCCACUAGACUUUUUGCCAAUGUUUUCUCCUGAUAAUUUGAACCCUCAUUUGCAAGAACUCCAAGUAUAUGAAAAAUUGAUGAGAAUAAAGAAAUAAAGUUACACAAUGUCUUAAAGUGAGAUCCCCAACGGGUAUCACCCGACCUUUGAAAACCAAGUUCUUGAUUUAAUCCACUUCCUGUAUGAACUUCACCAAGCACUAAUAACUCAUCUAAAUUUUCGGCUUGAUCAUCUCUAAGUAUCUCCCUAUGCUUAUAAGAACCUCCAACAACAUUCAAAACAUUAGCCAAAAUGUUUAAAAAAUUAUUUACAUCAUGAUGUUUCUUUGCAACAGCUGCAAGAGUUAAUUGCAAUUGAUGAGCAAAGCAACGUAUGCAAUAUGCCGAAGGAUUAUCUUUCAGAAUCAAAGUUUUAAGACCAUUGAUUUCACCUUGCGUGUUACUUGCUCCAUCAUACCCUUGUCCCCGUAUUAGAGAUGAACUCAAUGAAUAUUGUAAAAGUAAAGAAUAUAUUGCUUUUUGUAAUGCAGGUGCAGUUGUACCUUUAACAUGAACAAGACCAAGGAAUCGCUCAAUAAGUUCACCUUCCUUGUUGACAUAGCGCAGAACAAGAGCCAUUUGUUCCUUAUGAGAUACAUCCUUAGACUUAUCAACUAAUAUCCCAAAAAAAAAAUCCCCAUUCAAGUCUUCAAUAAUUGCUUUCACCAUUUCUUUUGCACAAGAACUUACAAUAUCUUUUUGAAUAUCAGGAGAAGUCAUGUUGUUAUUUUUUGGAGCUUUUUCUAAUACCACAUUUUUCACAUCUUCCUUCUUAUCUGCAAACCAUUUUAAGAGAUCUAAAAAGUUGCCUCUUUUUGUAGAAUUUACACUCUCAUCAUAACCCCGAAAAAGUAUUCCUUCUUUCAAAAGAUACCUUAUCACAUCAAUUGAAGCAUUCAAGCGAAGUCGAUGUUCACUUUUAAUUUUCUCAGAUUGCUUGUCCAAAUAAGUUAGAAUGGAUUGUGCUUGGUUCAUUAAAUCUAGCAUCAUCUUAAAACAUCGAUUGUGAACACUACUCACGUCACCCACAUGUGAUUUAAGCCUUUCUAAACCUUUACUCCAACCUCUAAAACCAUCCGUUGUGAAAGCAUCGCCUACUUUUUUCCAUAUCCUCCAACCUCAUUUUUACACAAGUAACAACAUAAACAAAAUGCUGCAUCUUGUUUAAUGUUAUAUUCUAACUAUUAAGAACAUGAAGUUUUAAACCAUUCAGGAUUAAAAUAACGAAUUAUUCCUCCAAAAUCUCUUUUUGGAAAGACAAAAUCACGAGGUUGACAAGGUCCAUUUUGUAUAUAAUUUCUCCCUAUGCGGUCAAGUAAAUUAGGAGGAUAUUCUGAAAUUGGUUUUCUUUCAGCGGGAUCAGGCUCAUAAUCCAACACUUUAUCCGAUACUUGGGAAGGAUUAAUAUUGUUAUUAAUAACUGGGCAUGGAAAACUUGGCAAAGGAGAGCUAGAAGAAGCUACAGAAGCUUGAGCUUUGUAAAAACUCGUGAUCAUAUUACUUUUGCUAGAAGACCCCAAAAAUCACAAAAUAUAAAUUCACUUCAAGUUGUAUGUUUCAAAAUACUAUAACAACCUAUUCUUUAUCUUUUUUGACAUAGUUCAAUUUGUAAACUAAAUAUGCUUUAUUCCUAAAAACUUAAAAACUUAGUCUAGAUGGAUAGUAUAUACAGUAAAGUCAAUUCAAUUUAUUUGUCUAACAAAGAGACCCACUUAUAAGGCCACAACAUAUGAAAGAAGUCAGAGGUUACAGGCUAAUGCUUCGAAUAAUGACUAAUGAUUCGAAUAGUGAUUUAGCUUUCCAUAUGUUUGCAAAUCUUGCUUUCCACAUUUAUUAUAUAAAUAAAACAUAAUGAUUGUUAUGAUAAAUAUCACAUUAUGUUGGAUGUCUACUCUCUUCCAUGAUCUUCAUCUCAAAUGUUUAAUGACAUAUUCAAUGACAUAUUUUGUAUGUUCAAUGAUAUAUUCCAUGACAUAUUUUCUUCACUUUUAUGACUAUAUAAAGGCCUUGUAAUAGAUAGAAAAAUACACACAAUUGAAGAAGAAAUAAGAAUCUCUCUUCCUCUCUUUCUCUCUAUAUCUCUUAGUUUAUUUUUGCUUGUUCUAUAUUUUUAUUUUGGGUUAUAUUUUAUAACACGUUAUCAACACGGGGCUCUACCAUCUCAAGAAGAUCUUUGAGAAAAUUAAGGUAUAAUUUUUCUAAAAUUUGUAUUUUUUAAUUAUGUCUGAUAUUAUGAAAAGAAAGUUCGUUGCCCAUGAAAUUUCGGGCAAGAACUAUAUGACAUGAGUAUUGGAUGCUGAAAUCCAUGUAGAUGCAAUGGGUCUUAGAGACGCCAUUAAAGAUAAAGAUAAAGCAUCUACCCAAGACUGUGCUAAGACCUUGAUUUUCUUGCGUCAUCAUCUGGAUGAAGGGUUGAAAAUUGAAUAUCUCACAGUGAAAGAUCCACUUGUUUUGUGGAAUGGUUUAAAAGAAAGAUAUGACAAUUUAAAGUUGGUCACUCUUCCACAAGCACGAUAUGAUUGGGCUCAUCUUAGGCUCCAAGACUUUAAGUCUGUUUCUGAAUAUAAUUCUGCUAUGUUUAGAAUUACUUCUAAAUUGAAACUCUGUGGAGAUAAUAUCAGUGACUAUGAUAUGCUUGAAAAAACGUUUACAAUGUUUCAUGCCUCCAAUAUGAUCUUGCAAUAGCAGUACCGAGAGAAAGGCUUCACAAAGUACUCUCAGUUGAUUUCUCUUCUACUUAUGGCUGAACGAAACAAUGAAUUACUUAUGAGAAAUCACGAAAAUCGACCCACUGGGUCUACACCAUUGCCUAAAGAGGAUAAGGUGUAUUCCCAUUAUGCUAAUCGUGGAAAAGGUCGUGGCCAUAUUUGUGGUCAUGGUCGUGGCCAUAUCCAAGGAAGAAAAUUUCCUGGUGUUAAUCAUCCUCCACCGAAAAAUAACUUCCAAAAAUGGAAAGGGAAAGAUGAGAAGCGAAACGCAGAGGGUUCAGAAACUAAAUGCUAUCGUUGCGGUGGAAAAGGGUAUUGGGCAAAAAUUUGUCGCAUACCAAAAUAUUUGGUUGAGCUUUAUCAAGAAUCUCUGAAGAAUAAAGGCCCUGAAGCCAAUCUUGUCUAUGACAAUGAAUUUGACAUCACCCAUUUGGAUGUGGCAGAUCUUUUUGAGCACCCUGAUAAAAAAAUAAACCACUUGAUCGGCGAUGGAUCUGUGGUUAGAGAUGAUUGAGCAAUUUAAUUUUUAUGCUUUCCUAUUCGUAGUAUGUAAUGAAUAAACAUCUCGUAAUUUUUAUUGUACUUUAUAAUUCUUCUUAUGUAGUUAUUAAAAAUAUUUUUAUUUCUGAAAUUUUAUAAAUUUCACAAAGAAGGAGUAAUAUCCUAUUAAUUAGUAUUCUAGUCUCAGUGAUCUUUUAACAAUUUUAACUUUCCUUUACGUUGCUUUAAUUCUCUUUAAGAAAAGGUUUACAAGCACCCUGGAACAACUUUUGUUACUUCACCCUCAAUUUUUUUUUAUGAGUAUGUUCUUUUCUUACACGGAUCAAUUAUUUUUCAUACAAUGUGGAGGAAAAUGCAAAUAAUUUAUACAUGUAAAUAAAUUUAUUGUAGUUGUAUUAGUCAUAUGUGUACUUGUAUUAUUUUUUGUGUAAUUAUUUGUAUAAUAAUUAGAAUUUGUCAGAAAAUGCAUUAAAGGCUGCUAUUGAAUUAUUGGUUUAACUUUAUUUCUUUUUCAUUUUUCUCUAAAAAUACUAAUAUUUAUUCAUAUACUUCUUUUGUAUGUCAAACUACAAAAAGCAAAUAUGGAUAUCUUUCAAAGCAAACUUGGAUCAAAGUUCAAUUGUAAAAAUAUUUGCUUAAUUGAUUCAUGUACGACAUAUACAAUAUUCAAAGAGAAGAAAUAUUUCUCUCAUUUAAGUAUGUAUAAGGCAGAUAUUACUACAAUUUCUGGUAGUAGUAAUCUAAUUGAAGGCUCUAGAAGAGCUACUAUAACUCUGCCUAUGGGAUCAAUAAUUAUCAUAGAGAAUGCAAUGUUCUCCUCCAAGUCCAAGAGGAACUUGUUGAGUUUUAAAGAUAUCCGCGGAAAUGGAUUUUAUAUUGAGAUAAUAGAUGAGAAUAAUAUGGAAUAUCUCAUCGUUACCAAGAAUGUCUCUACCCAAAAAAGAGUUAUUGAGAAGUUCCCAUCUUUAUCUUGUGGCCUAUAUUGGAUAAAAAUUAGUGCAAUUGAGGCACAUUCUACCUUAAACCAAAAGGUUACUACUUCCAAUACUUUUGUACUUUGGCAUGAUUGAUUGGGCCAUCCUGGAUCAAUUAUGAUGAGACGAAUCAUAGAAAACUCAAAUGGGCAUUCAUUAAAGAAUUUGAAAAUUCUUUUAAAUAAUGAAUUUUCUUGCACUUCUUGUUAUCAAGGCAAGUUAAUUAUAAGACCAUCACCAACAAACGUUGGGAUUGAGUCUCCUGCGUUUUUAGAACGUAUAUAAGGGGACAUUUAUGGACCUAUUCACCUACCUAGUGGGUCGUUUAGAUAUUUUAUGGUCUUAAUAGAUGCAUCUUCUAGAUGGUCUCAUGUAUGCCUAUUGUCAUCUCGUAACCUCGCGUUUGCAAAAUUAAUGGCACAAAUAAUCCGAUUACGGGCACAAUUUCCCGAUAAUCCAAUUAAGUCUAUUAGACUUGAUAAUGCUGCUGAGUUUUCAUCCCAAGCAUUUAAUGAUUAUUGCUUAUCAAUUGGGAUAAAAGUGGAACAUCCUGUAGCUCAUGUUCACACUCAAAAUGGCCUUGCAAAGUCUUUAAUUAAACGUCUGCAAUUGAUACUAAGACCGUUACUCAUGAAAACGAAGUUGCCUACUUCUAUUUGGGGUCAUGCCAUUUUACAUGCAGCAAUACUAAUUCGUCUCACACCGACAAAUUAUCACAAAUAUUCCCCGUUGUAAUUAGUUUUGGGUCAUGAACCUAAUAUAUCUCAUCUAAGAAUUUUUGGAUGCGCUGUAUAUGUGCCUGUAGCACCCCCAUAUCGCACCAAGAUAGGUCCCCAAAGAAGGUUAGGAAUAUAUGUUGGGUUUGAAUCGCCCUCCAUUAUUCGCUACCUUGAAACAUUAACGGGAGAUUUGUUCACGGCUCGUUUUGCAGAUUGUCGAUUCGAUGAGGCAUUUUUCCCAAAAUUAGGGGGAGAAAUUAGUGAAACCAAACGUGAAAUUUUGUGGAAAAAUACAUCAUUGUCUCAUCUUGAUCCACGUGCCUCUAUUUGUAACACAAAGGUGUAAAAGAUUAUCCAUUUGCAGAAAAUAGCAAAUCAAAUGCCAGAUGCAUUUACGGAUCUGAAAAGGAUAACAAAAUCACAUAUCCCUACAGAGAAUGUUCCAAUCCGUAUUGAUGUCCCUAUUGGAAAAUCUUCUAGUGUCAUAGCUAAUGAGUCAAAAGCACGGCUAAAACGUGGCAGACCAUUAGGUUCUAAGGAUCGAAAUCCUAGAAAAAGGAAAAUAAAUGAUCAAGAUGACACUACGAAAGAGUCUCAUAAAAAAAUUCACGAUUUAACCAAUCCUGAGAUUCAUGAGGAAAUCAAUGAGCCUGAGACUCAAGAAAAUAAGGAACUAUCAAUAAAUCCAAUUGAUAUUGAGACAAAUUUUAAUCGAAUGGAUAUAGUGGUGGAUUACAUCUUUGCACAUAAUGUUGCAUCUAGCAUUAUGCAAGAAAGUGAGGAUCUUGAACCUCAAUCUUUGUCAAUAAAGACUUGAUUGGCCAAAAUGGCAAGAAACAAUCCAAUUAGAGCUAAGUUCACUUGCAAAACGUGAAGUUUUUGGGCCUGUAGUCCAAACACCUAAUGGUGUUAAGCCUGUUGGCUAUAAAUGGGUCUUUGUACGCAAAAGGAAUGAGAAAAAUGAGGUACAAAGAUAUAAGGCACACCUUGUUGCACAAGGAUUUUCAUAAAGGCCUGGUGUCGAUUAUGAAGAACAUAUUCUCCUGUUAUGGAUGCUAUAACAUUUCAUUAUCUCAUUAAUUUUGCUGUCCAUGAAAAGCUUGACAUGAAUUUAAUGGAUGUAGUUACAGCCUACCUUUACGGCUCACUUGAUAAUGAGAUAUACAUGAAAUUUUUUGAGGGAUUUAAAAUGCCUAACACACAGAAUUCAAAGUCCCGGAAAAUAUUUUCAAUCAAAUUGCAAAGAUCUUUGUAUGGUCUAAAGCAAUCAGGAAGAAUGUGGUAUAACCAUCUUAGUGAGUAUUUAUUAAAGGGGGGUUAUAUAAAUGAUGUCAUUUGUCCAUGUGUUUUUAUAAAGAAAACAACAUCGGAAUUUGUUGUACUUGUCGUAUAUGUCGAUGACAUAAACCUUAUUGGAACUCCUACAGAACUCCAAAAGGCAAUUGAUUAUUUAAAGAAGGAAUUCGAGAUGAAAGAUCUCGGGAAGACAAAAUUGUGUCUCGGUUUGCAAAUUAAAUAUGUGACAAAUGAGAUUUUUGUUCAUCAAUCUGCCUACAUUAAAAAGGUAUUGAAACGGUUUUACAUGGAUGAAGCACAUCCAUUAAGUACUCUGAUGAUUGUUCGAUCACUUGAUGUGAAUAAGGACCCGUUUUGACCUCAAGAAAAGAAUGAAGAGCUUCUUGGUCCUGAAGUACCAUAUCUUAGUGCAAUUGGUGCACUAAUGUAUCUUGCUAACACUACAAGGCCUGACAUAACUUUUUCGGUUAAUGUCUUAGCAAGAUAUAACUCUGCUCAUACAAGGAGACACUGGAAUGUGAUCAAACACAUAUUGCGAUAUUUAAAAGGGACUACCGAUAUGAGCUUAUUUUAUGGCAAUAAUUACAAUCCCGAUCUUGUUGGUUAUGCCGAUACUGGGUAUUUAUCUGACCCGUAUAAGGCUCGAUCUCAAACAGGUUAUGUGUUUACAUGUGGCGGCACUGCCAUAUCUUGGCGAUCGACUAAGCAAUCAAUUGUGGCUACUUCUUCUAAUCAUGCUGAGAUAAUUGCUAUUUAUGAAGCAAGUCGAGAAUAUAUUUGGUUGAGGUCUAUAAUACAUCUUAUCCGAGACAAAUGUGGUUUGAAGUGUGAAAAACUACCCACAAUUUUGUAUGAAGACAAUGCAGCAUGCAUAACCCAAUUAAAGGGAGGAUUGAUAAAAGGAGAUAGGACAAAACACAUUUCACCAAAGUUAUUUUUUACACAUGAUCUUCAAAAGAAUGGUGAUAUCAAUGUGUAACAGAUUCGUUCAACUGAUAAUAUGGCUGAUUUGUUCACCAAAUCUCUACCAACAUCAACCUUCAAGAAACUGGUGUACAAAAUUGGGAUGCGAAGGCUCAAGGAUGUGAGUUGAUGCUCUCACCAGGGGGAGUUAAUACGCGUUAUACUCUUUUUCCUUUACAAGAUUUUGUCCCACUGGGNNNNNNNNNNNNNNNNNNNNNNNNNNNNNNNNNNNNNNNNNNNNNNNNNNGGGUUUUUCCUAAUAAGGUUUUAACGAGGUACAUUAUCUAUGGACAUCAAAGGGGGAGUGUUAUGAUAAAUAUCACAUUAUGUUGGAUGUCUACUCUUCUUCCAUAAUCUUCAUCUCAAAUGUUUAAUGACAUAUUUUGUAUGUUCAAUGAUAUAUUCCAUGACAUAUUUUCUUCACUUUUAUGCCUAUAUAAAGGCCUUGUAAUAGAUAGGAAAAUACACACAAUUGAAGAAAAAAUAAGAAUCUCUCUUUCGCUCUAUAUCUCUUAGUUUGUUUUUGCUUGUUCUAUAUUGUUAUUUUAGGUUAUAUUUUAUAACAAUGAUAAUUUAAUCUCUGACUAGUACCUAUGUGAAUGUAAGUUGGUCUCACUAAGAAAUUGAAAACAAGAAAGUAGGAUCAAUGGACCACAUACCUUGUCUACCGGUUUGUCAGGGAUUCCAGGUUUGAGCUUUUGGAAAAUACAAAAGCACAAAUUGACCAAAAGAAUAGAGGUCAAAAUGUGGGACAACCCUAGAAUCAAAGAUUAAAAAUCAAAUUUUGUAUAAAUUAUCAAAUAUAAAAUAUAAGAGAAACAUAUGAAGCACAAAAUCAGAAAAAAAGAAUUGAAGAAGAAAAAUGGGUCUAACUUCUAAGUGAGAAAGAGCAUACACAGCAGAGAAUUGGAGGACGUCCAACAGAUUGUGGUAGCAGACUAGUAGUGAUUGUCGAUAAACAGAGGCAGAGAAGACCCCUAGUUUUCUUGAUUUGGGAAUUGGGAUUUGUCGUUUGGUCUUUGGAGUUGGAAGGCUUUUGUUCUUUUCUUUAUUAGAAAGAAAGAAAAUGUUUUUUUAU